GUAUAUGACUCCAGUCCUGGCGCUGGAUGCUGCUGCUGUUCCAGCUUCCUAGGUGUGGAAACUGAAGGACCAAGAGAUUAAACAGGAAUCUCUGAGGACAAAUGGGAAUUCUCACUGAUUUCUAGGACUACCCUGGGGCAGUUGUCCAUGGAAAUCUUGCUGGUUUACCUUCAAGAUGUAUCUAUCAUCUGCCCAUGUCUCACCACCUCCAAUGCUGCCACGACGUCUGGACCAGCAUGAAUGCCUGGCCUCAACCUCCCGGGCUCAAGCCAUCUUCCUGCCUCAGCCUCCCAAGCAGAUAGGACUACAGUUGCACAAGAGCACUGAGCUGACAAUACUUUCUGAUAAGUCUUCCUGCUUCCACCCUUACCCCCCAUAUUCUGUUUUUAAUAUGCAGUUACAGUUUUAAAAUGGAAGUCAGAUCAUGUGAUGCCUCUGCCAACCUAGCAAGGAGUGAUUCAUUUCGCUCCCAGUAAAGGCCAUAGUCUUUCUAACACCCUACACAGCCUGCACAGCGGCUGCCCAUCAUCUCUGACCCCCUCCUCCUCUUGCCCUCUCACACUGCCUGGCUGUAGUGGGCUCAGUGCUAUAACGCACCUCUGCCUGAAGGCCUUUGCUCUAGUCUUCCAUCUCUCCAAAAGCUCCUCCUCACAGAUCCAAGUGCCCAACCCUUACCCACUUCAAAUCUCAUCUUCUCAGUGAGGCCUCCUCUGACCAGCCUUUCCUCACCCCCUCACCCCACUCUACUUUUUCUUUUCCCAACACACAUACCAUCCUAUAACAUUCUCUGUAAUUUACUCGUGGAUUGCUUAUUGUCUGUCUCCCUCCAUUAGAAUGUAAGCUCCAAGGCAGGGAUCUUUGUCUUUGUUCACUGAUGUAUCCUAUGCCCCUUAAACAGUGCCCAGCACAUGGUAGACGCUCAAAAAAAAGUUACUGGAUAAGUGACUUUAGUGGACACACUUUUGUUUUGUUUUUGAGAUGGAGUCUCGCGCUGUCACCCAGGCUGGAGUGCAGUGGUGCGAUCUCGGCUCACUGCAAGCUCCGCCUCCCAGGUUCACACCAUUCUCCUGCCUCAGCCUCCCGAGUAGCUGGGACUACAGGCGCCCGCCGCCACGCCCGGCUAAUUUUUUUUUGUAUUUUUAGUACAGACGGGGUUUCACCGUGUUAGCCAGGGUGGUCUCGAUCUCCUGAUCUGGUGAUCUGCCCGCCUCGGCCUCCCAAAGUGCUGGGAUUACAGGCAUGAGCCAGCGCGCCCGGCCGUGGACACACUUUUAAAAAAUUUUUCUUUUUGUUUUUUCUCUUUUUUUUUUGAGACAAAGGCUUGCUUGCUCUGUCUCCCAGGCUGGAGUGCAGUGGUGUGAUCUUGGCUCACUGCAACCUCUGCCUCCCAGGUUCAAGCAAUUCUCCUGCAGUAGUUGGGACUAUAGGUACCCGCCACCAUGCCUGGCUAAUUUUUUUUUUUUUUGAGAUGGAGUUUUCGCUCUUGUUGCCCAGGCUGGAGU
rnacentral:lncRNA from 1 species